CAUUUCUCUACUUGCCCUCGCGUUCACACUCUACCGGCGGACGACGGCGGACGCGACGCGGCUGUGAGCUGCUCUUUUCCCCGCGUCGCGUCGCGCUCGAAAAAAAAACUAUAUAACACGUGCCGGGGCCUCGGCUCUGCCACCGUUCUACAGCUCCGACUGAGAAGGGAAUCCCCGCCGGCGCCGGCCUCCAAUCCAUCCCGCAGCCUCUCCUCCAUCCUCGAGCAUCUCGCCGGCCGGCCUGUCACCUCCGAUACUGCUCCUACCUCCACGUCAGGAGCCUAGCUAGCUAGCUAGUCGCGGGAGCUAAGAGAUGACGUGGCCUACGCCGCCGUUCCUGUACGCGCCGUCGCCGUUGGUGGCGGGGGCGUCGGCGGCGGGCGCCGUCGUGAUGGCCUUCCUGGCCAUCUCCGAGUUCUGCGGCGACAACCUGACCUACUCCAAGUUCUGGGGCCCCGCCGGCGGCGGUGGCCGGAGGCCCGCGGCGCUCCUGGUGUCGAGCCACCGAUCUAAUUAAAUGAGUGGCUCACAGUUAUUUGGGUGUACCACAGUAAAACCCUCUAUCAUUAAUACUAUUCCGUCUGUAAGUUUGGUGCAUAUAUGAAACACAAAGGCACAGAAAGAGCAGUAGCUGAGGUCGCCAUGUACAGCCCAUGCCCCAUGGACAAGAACCUGUCGGUAAGUUCUUGGCACCGUAUAUAUACAGUUGCUAAAACAUACACUGUAUAUAUGUUGCAGGAAAAAUCAUCUUCAUCAUUGCAAGUCAGUUGAACUUGAAAGGUUCAUGUUCAGAUAACCUGAACAUGAAAGGUUGUAACCUCUCUGGAAACAAAUCAUCAGGCCCACUACUCUGUGACUCAUAAUAAUGUAAGGAUCAAGGAUCAAGGACAUAGGCCCAAGAGAGCCGUCAACGCGCCGUACUUCCCCUGCACUCAUGCUUGCUGCGACGGCACCAUGCAUAACCUUGUGCUCCCCAUCCAGCAACGUGCUGUUUUGCUCCAUCAGCGCCAGCGUGACGGCGUGUCAUCCUGCAACUGCGAGAAGAGAUUAACGCAAAGGAAGUGGCUGGGAGCCUGGGAGGGGGAAGAAUGGUGGUGGCAGUAGGCGAGCGCCGGCGUGGAUGCGGCCUGCGGCGUGGAGACGGGCAGGCGCUAGUGUGGAGGUGGCCGGGCGGCGGCAUGGAGCCGGGCCGCGCGCCGCUCCUUGCACUGCAGUCGGCCGGCGCUGGCUCUUAUUACCAGGACGGAUUUUGGCGGGGAAGAAGCAAAAUAGCACGUGCCACAUCCAAAUCCCACGACCUUGCUUGGAGACGACGCACCCCAUACAGCAGUAGCUCAUCGCCUUUGCUCAUUCAAUUCGAGAUAGCACGUUGUCAAAAAAAAAA